AACCAGUUUUCGUCGUAUCCUCAAUGGCAGUGUCAUCCUUUUAAAGGUUGUGCCCUGCCCCCUUCCCUCCUGUUUCACUUCGAGGGUUCGGUUUAUUUAGCCUCACUAUGCAUGGGGCACACGAAGUUGUGUUUGGUAACACCUGGAGCUUGUGGAUGUGCUACUUUAGGAUGCCUCCAGUCUUUCCUUCCGAGUGGCCCUCCGGGGGUGCUGCUGUGCUCUGAGGCUCUCUUGCCCCAGGGUCUCCCUCCGUGGGUGUCUUUGGUCCUCUGAUCCUCGGGGGUCACUCUGCAGCCUCCUCAUACCGACUGCCUGGACCACUGCGGCUCCCCGGCCCUUCUGCAGACGGGAUCCUGGAGCAAGCAGGUUGAGGAGGGCUGGCAGGAGGUGGAGGCAGGGCCCCAGCCCCCCUGGCGGAACGGUCACUGCCCAGCUAUGGCUCUGAGGUCCAGCACUGCCUGCUCCCUCACCUCUUGAGCCAGGAUGCCUAAAGCAGAAUCCCUUACAUUGGAGAAGAACCCUUACAAGGGGCCCUUGUUAAAACAAGACACAAUUAAGAGAUGGAAAGGCCAAAAAGCCUUGAAAAACAGGCUCUGAGAUUGACGCCCUGGUUGCUUGAAGCGCAGGCGAAGGCAGACGGGCCCAGACGACAGCGUGAGAGCUCUCCAGCCCCAUUGCGUCAGUUUCUCCUUGAAUGCAAUUCCAGAAGAGACCACUAGAGGGCAGGCCACACCUCUCAAUGCCUGCUGGGCAUGGGGGGCGGGGUGUUGAGGCUCCCAGGCCUGGCCGCCCACGUAACUUCCCCGAAAGAAGAGGGGUUCAAGCUUUCCCACCGUCCUGCUAACGAACUUUCUUAAAAGUCAGUUGCCUAACCUGCUACCAAAGGAAGUCUAAAUGAACCCAGCCUCCAUGAUGCGAGGAAGCUCAGGCCACACGGGACAGCCACGUGUCUGGGCUGGCAGCCCAUCCUGAGGUCCCAGCCAACAGCAGGCAUCAGCCACCAGACAUGCAGCCCAGUGUUGGGGAGAACUCGUUACAGAGCAAUGGAUAACUGGCAUUUGCUGGGGAUGACUGAUAGUAAAAGCCCUGAAACCAUGCACUGCCCUGGCCCUUACCCAGUUUUGUUAUUUGGAAAAUGUGAAUUAUCACAAAGCAAGCAGGAUCCCGCUCUCUGGGCAGCACAUCACAGCCGCAGAACUUGAACCCUUCACUGACCCUGCUGUGCGUGGCUGACACACAGAGUGGAUCUUCAACACAACCUGUAAGCAACAGGCAGGCUGUCCUCUCUCGACAACGGGUUCCUUCCACUCAAAGGGAAAAACAAGAAGAGGAAGAGCGGCUGCCUGGUCUCUGCCAGUCAUGGAAUACAUCUCAGCAAAUGAUCAGAUUUGAAACUGCUUUGUGUCCUGGUUCACUUGGUCCUACCGGGAAAUAACCUGAUUUGAGUUGGAAACACCCCUGUGCCAUUGAGAUGCAAGUGGGAUCCUUUGGGAGAGGAAAAAAAUAAACUGAUUAUGAAGUUUGAGAUA